rnacentral:rRNA from 1 species
CGCGUAGGUGGUAGUGUAAGUCUGGGGUGGAAUCCCAGGGCUUAACCCUGGAACUGCCUUGGAAACUGCAUUACUUGAGUCAGUGAGGGGAGGGUAGAAUUCCUGGUGUAGCGGUGAAAUGUGUAGAUAUCAGGAGGAAGGCCUGUGGCGAAGGCGGCCCUCUGGCGCUGAACUGACACUGAGGCGCGAAAGCGUGGGGAGCAAACAGGAUUAGAUACCCUGGUAGUCCACGCCCUAAACGGUGGGCACUAGGUGUAGGGCUCGUAAGGGUUCUGUGCCGAAGGGAAACCAUUAAGUGCCCCGCCUGGGGAGUACGGCCGCAAGGUUGAA